GUAGACCACUGGGAAGCACAUGGCUUAUAAGAUCUGCACAUCAGAGGAGCCUAGCAUAAAUAUGGAACAACCAAACACUAGCACGGAAAAAGCAGCCCCAAGGCCCAAAAGGAAGAAGGAAAAGAAGAGUCCAUGUCAACCCAAGCCCAGAAGCAGCGGCAAGGUCCAGAAGAAAACCACGAAGGCAAAAAGACCCCUUCAAAGGAAUUUGAGG